rnacentral:rRNA from 1 species
UACAGAGGGUGCAAGCGUUAAUCGGAAUUACUGGGCGUAAAGCGCGCGUAGGCGGCUGUCUAAGUCGGGUGUGAAAGCCCCGGGCUCAACCUGGGAACUGCAUUCGAUACUGGACGGCUAGAGUAUGAGAGAGGGAGGUAGAAUUCCACGUGUAGCGGUGAAAUGCGUAGAUAUGUGGAGGAAUACCGAUGGCGAAGGCAGCCCCCUGGGAUAACACUGACGCUCAUGCACGAAAGCGUGGGGAGCAAACAGGAUUAGAAACCCCGGUAGU